rnacentral:rRNA from 1 species
GACGAACGCUGGCGGCGCGCCUAACACAUGCAAGUCGAACGGGGUCUUUUGGGAGCUUGCUCCCGGCUGACCUAGUGGCGGACGGGUGAGUAACACGUGAGCAACCUGCCGAGAAGUGGGGGAUAACGUUUGGAAACAGACGCUAAUACCGCAUAACAUCUGCGAAUGGCAUCAUUUGUGGAUCAAAGGAGCAAUCCGCUUUUUGAUGGGCUCGCGCCCGAUUAGAUAGUUGGUGAGGUAACGGCUCACCAAGUCGACGAUCGGUAGCCGGACUGAGAGGUUGAACGGCCACAUUGGGACUGAGACACGGCCCAGACUCCUACGGGAGGCAGCAGUGGGGAAUAUUGCACAAUGGGGGAAACCCUGAUGCAGCGACGCCGCGUGAGUGAAGACGGCCUUCGGGUUGUAAAGCUCUGUUGUGGAGGACGAUAAUGACGGUACUCCACUAGAAAGCCACGGCUAACUACGUGCCAGCCGCCGCCGUAAUAC